rnacentral:rRNA from 1 species
UACAGAGGGUGCGAGCGUUGUCCGGAAUCACUGGGCGUAAAGGGCGCGUAGGUGGCGCGACAAGUCGGUGGUGAAAGCUCGACGCUUAACGUCGAGUCGGCCACUGAUACUGUCGGGCUUGAGCACUGUAGAGGCUAAUGGAAUUCCGGGUGUAGCGGUGGAAUGCGUAGAGAUCCGGAAGAACACCGGUGGCGAAGGCGGUUAGCUGGGCAGUUGCUGACACUGAGGCGCGACAGCGUGGGGAGCAAACAGG